GGGUGGAUGGUGCGCAGGCAAGGGGGCAUGUGGAGGCGUAAUUCGCGCAGGGUGGUGUGUUGUUCGGCGUCGCGGAUCAUGUCGGUGUCCGUCCA
rnacentral:tRNA from 1 species